AUGAAGUCGGAAUUGCUAGUAAUGGCAGGUCAGCAUACUGCCGUGAAUACGUUCCCGGGCCUUGUACACACCGCCCGUCACACCAUGAGAGUUGGGGAUACCCAAAGCCCGUGAGCCAACUUAUAGAGGCAGCGGUCUAAGGUAGAAUCAAUGAUUGGGGUGAAGUCGUAACAAGGUAGC
rnacentral:rRNA from 1 species